AGUACGACCGCAAGGUUAAAACUCAAAUGAAUUGACGGGGACCCGCACAAGUAGUGGAGCAUGUGGUUUAAUUCGAAGAUACGCGCAGAACCUUACCAACACUUGACAUGUUCGUCGCGACUCUAAGAGAUUAGAGUUUUCGGUUCGGCCGGACGAAACACAGGUGCUGCAUGGCUGUCGUCAGCUCGUGUCGUGAGAUGUUGGGUUAAGUCCCGCAACGAGCGCAACCCUCACUUUUAGUUGCCAUCAUUAAGUUGGGCACUCUGAAAGAACUGCCAGUGAUAAGCUGGAGGAAGGUGGGGAUGACGUCAAGUCCUCAUGGCCCUUACGUGUUGGGCUACACACGUGCUACAAUGGUAUCUACAACAGGAAGCAAGACUGCGAAGUUAAGCAAAUCCCUAAAAGAUACCUCAGUUCGGAUUGCACUCUGCAACUCGAGUGCAUGAAGCUGGAAUUACUAGUAAUCGUGGAUUAGCGUGCCACGGUGAAUGCGUUCCCGGGUCUUGUACACACCGCCCGUCACACCAUGGGAGUUGGUUCUACCUUAAGGCAAGGUUUCAAACCCUUGACCACGGUAUAGUCAGCGACUGGGGUGAAGUCGUAACAAGGUAACC
rnacentral:rRNA from 1 species